rnacentral:rRNA from 1 species
GCUUGCACCUUUCAAGCGAGUGGCGAACGGGUGAGUAACACGUGGAUAACCUGCCUCAAGGCUGGGGAUAACAUUUGGAAACAGAUGCUAAUACCGAAUAAAACUUAGUAUCGCAUGAUACAAAGUUGAAAGGCGCUACGGCGUCACCUAGAGAUGGGUCCGCGGUGCAUUAGUUAGUUGGUGGGGUAAAGGCCUACCAAGACAAUGAUGCAUAGCCGAGUUGAGAGACUGAUCGGCCACAUUGGGACUGAGACACGGCCCAAACUCCUACGGGAGGCUGCAGUAGGGAAUCUUCCACAAUGGGCGAAAGCCUGAUGGAGCAACGCCGCGUGUGUGAUGAAGGCUUUAGGGUCGUAAAGCACUGUUGUAUGGGAAGAAAUGCUAGAAUAGGGAAUGAUUCUAGUUCGACGGUACCAUACCAGAAAGGGACGGCUAAAUACGUGCCAGCAGCCGCGGUAAUACGUAUGUCCCGAGCGUUAUCCGGAUUUAUUGGGCGUAAAGCGAGCGCAGACGGUUGAUUAAGUCUGAUGUGAAAGCCCGGAGCUCAACUCCGGAAUGGCAUUGGAAACUGGUUAACUUGAGUGUUGUAGAGGUAAGUGGAACUCCUGUGUGAAACG